AACAAAAAGCCCUCAAUGCAGCCAGUUCUGGAGAUUUGGUUAGACUAUGAACAGUAGACAUCAAAAGAUGAUCAUCUAAAGGGCCACAAUUGUUUAAAGCACUGGUCAACAAAAACUGAACUAUUGGAUGGAUCAUACAUGUGCAGAAUGUACUACCAUAUUUCCAGAAUCAGAGAAAUAGAAAUAUCAAGUAUUAGAGAGAAAGAAAUGUAUGCAUCAUGUAUGAAGAACUGCCUAAGAAUAAUUUGCAAAAUACAUUGAAAUCUAACAAUUGCUAAUUGCAUAAUGCAUAUGGAAGUUAAGAAAGGUGUACUCUUCUGGAAAAUAUGUGUCCAAUGCAACAUUUCUUUUUCAAUUUUGUGAGCAUAAUUCUACAUAAAAAUUUUAACAUGGCUACAGGGAUAAUACAAAAGUUUUAAUCUUAUUUCCAAACACAUUGGGGGAAUCAGAGAAGAAAUAUCAAGAAUUAGGGAAAAAGAAAUAAUUGUCAUGAAUGAAAAACUUGCUUUUUAUUAAUUUACAAAAUACUUUUUAGCCUCACAACAGUUACUGUUAAUAAUAUUAUGAAUAUGGAAGUUAAAAGUGUGGAUUUUGAUUAAUCUUCAACUUCUCUGAGCAUAGUUCUACAUAUAAAUUGUAACUUUAUAAAAUAGUCUUGUAGAAAAAGUGUAAGACUUUCAUACUUGUUUGAUAGAAAAUGUUUCUGGAUGUUUCAAUGUAAGUUUGCUAGACCCAGACCACUAGCUCCUAAGUCAAGGUUACACGUAGAUGUCAAAGGUUAAAAGGGUCUGUUUCUGUCUGGUCAAUAACUGCCAUACAUAAAGGGAUUUUGGAAUUACUCGUCAUAAAUGUUCACCAUAAAUAGACAACGUGUUAUGCGCAAAACCCAAACCCUUGCUCCAAGGUCAAGGUCACACGUAGAGGUCAAAGGUUAAUAGAGUCUUUUUUGUGUCUGGUCAAUAACUCUGCGAUUCAUGAAGGGACUUUUAGAUAACUUGGCAUAAAUGUUCACCAUAAUGAAACAAGGUGUCAUGCCCAAGACCAAGACCCCUAGCUCGAAGGUCGCACUUAGAGGCCAAUGGUCAGAUACAAAAAUGACGUUGUCCCGAGCAUUUCUUGUUCAUGCAUGGAGGAAUUUUGAUGUACAAUGGCAAAAAUGUUCAUCAUCAUGAGAUGGUGUGUCAUGAGUAAGAACCAGGCCACUAAUCCUUUGCUGUUACUGUAAAGUUCUAUUCUAUUAACCCUUAUGCUGAACAUGAUUUAUUCUGUCUUUGCGACCAGUGUAGAUCACGAUCAGCCUGCACAUCCAUGCAGGCUGAUGAUGAUCAGCACUGUUCGCCAUUCAAUCAGUAUAUUUUUGGUAAGCAUCCCUUUUAACAGUUAAUGGUACUGUCCAAAUUGAAAAAUGGACAAGUUCAUUAUAGAAAUUCAGCAGGGUAAGGGUUAAUAUUAGCCCUAGGAGAAAAUUGGGACUACUUUUCUGUAGUACAACACGCAUGUUACAUCCAGUUUUUGAUGUAUUUUGACCUAAGGCUACUGAUAAGUACUUUUGUGUGGACUUAGAUUUUUUUCAGAUUAACUUCUCUUUGUUGUCACUAUAACAAACGAUUAUUCUUGAAACUUUUUAUCCUGGUUGUUAGAAUUGGAUAUGUCAUUGUUUUGGCUUUCUGUCUAUCAAACUUAUAGUUUUGUACAGAAAAUGUUUUAUUAUAUCAUCUACCUGACGAGCAUAUAUUUAACAUCCUGGUACUCUUGUUUUAUUUUGUUCAUGCCAAGAUGCUGUAUUGGCAUACAGUAUGUAUGAUGAAAAUGUCCUUAGGCAGGGGACGUUGCUAACUCUGUUACAAAUUCUUGUUGUUGUUUUUUCUGGAGUUGUUGCCCUAUUUGAUCUUGAACUAAUUCAUCACAUCGUGAACUCGUGAACUUAAGUCGAACAGAUCCAUCCAACUGAAUUGAAACUAGGUAUACAUCAGAAGCAUGAAAUGAAUAUGUACAUGUUGCCCUGACUUUUAUGAUCUAUUAUUAUGUCUCCCCUAGGAGACAUAUUGUUUUUGCCCUGUCCGUCCGUCCUUCCGUCCGUCCGUCCGUACGUCACACUUCAUUUCCGAGCAAUAACUGGAGAACCAUUUGACCUAGAACCUUCAAACUUCAUAGGGUUGUAGGGCUACUGGAGUAGACGACCCCUAUUGUUUUUGGGGUCACUCCGUCAAAGGUCAAGGUCACAGGGGCCUGAACAUUGAAAACCAUUUCCGAUCAAUAACUAGAGAACCACUUGACCCAGAAUGUUGAAACUUCAUAGGAUGAUUGGUCAUGAACAGUAGAUGACCCCUAUUGAUCUUGGAGUCACUCCAUCAAAGGUCAAGGUCACAGGGGCCUGAACAUUGAAAACCAUUUCCGAUCAAUAACCAGAGAACCACUUGACCCAGAAUGUUGAAACUUCAUAGGAUGAUUGGUCAUGAACAGUAAAUGUCCCCUAUUGAUUUUGGGGUCACUCCGUCAAAGGUCAAGGUCACAGGGGCCUGAACAUUGAAAACCAUUUCCGGUCAGUAACUUGAGAACCACUUUACCCAGAAUGUUGAAACUUAAUAGGAUGAUUGGUCAUGCAGAGUAGAUGACCCCUAUUGAUUUUAGGGUCACUCUGUUAAAGGUCAAGGCCACAGGGGCCUGAACAUGGAAAACCAUUUCCAAUCAAUAACUUGAGAACCUCUCGACCCAGAAUGUUGAAACUUCAUAGGAUGAUUGUUCAUGCAGAGUAAAUGACCCCCAUUGUUUUUGGGGUCAGUCUAUUAAAGGUCAAGGUCACAGUGGCCUGUUCAUGUAAAAUCAUUUUUGGGAAAUAACUUGAGAACCACUUGACCUACAAUGUUGAAACUUAAUAGGAUGAUUGGACAUGCAGAGUAGAUGACCCCUAUUUAUUUUGAGGUCAUCUGAUCAAAGGUCAAGGUCACAGGAGCCUGAACAGUGACUUGAGAACCACUAGGCCAAGAGUGUUGAAAUUUAGCGGGAUGACUGGACAUGCCAAGUAGAUGAUCCCUACUGCAGCCAACCAUCACUGUCUCUUUGACUUUCGCUCCUGACCCCUAUUGACUUCUUGCCUAUAGGACUUUGCAUUGGGGGAGACAUGCGCUUUUUUACAAAAGCAUUUUCUAGUUUUGUCUGGAGUUGUGGCCCUUCUUUAACGACGAAUGACAACUACAUUGUAGUUUCCUUCUCUUCAUUUCAAAUAAAACUUGUUAAACAUCAUAAAUAUUAUGUAGACAUGCGCAUUUGUUUCUUGUUCAGUUGUUUAACUUCUAUAUAUUUUCCUUAAUAACAUUAUUGACCCGUCGUUAUUAUAAAUUAUUGAAUGAAACAUUUUUUACCUCCGUGAAGGAAUAUUGUCAAACUAUACCGAUAAGGGGAAGAGUUUGCUUCCUUUUGUAGCACAACUGUCUAUGCAUUAUUGUGUCUUGCUCAUAUAUAACACUUUUAUUUGUGUGAACAUGCAUGAAUUUGUUAUACUGCAAAUUAAAACAGUCAUCAUUGA